CUGAAGUUCUCGAGGAAUGUGAGUCAAACACGUUGGAUCAUUGAUGAUGAAAGAAUGGGAGAAGCAUCUGUCGAGGAGAUAAUAGGUGGCAACAUCCUUCCCGCUGACAGUUACAAGUUUCAUGCUGCUGGUAGAGAGGAUAUCGAUGUUCGAAUGCUGGGUUCAGGCAGGCCUUUCCUGGUUGAGAUACAAAAUGCCCGCCAAGUCCCAUCUGAGGCUCUUGUGAAAGAAAUAGAGACUAAGAUAAAUAACUUAAAUACUAAAUUGGUUGCAGUUAAAAAUCUUAAAAUGGUAGCCAAUGAGGGCUGGACUCUGAUGCAUGAGGGGGAAGCAGAAAAGCAGAAGCAAUAUUGUGCGCUGGUG
rnacentral:misc_RNA from 1 species